UCAUCCCUAGAGCUUCGAGCUCUCUAAAGGGUUGUCGUAGACUACGACGUUGAUAGGCAGGGUGUGUAAGCGCUGUGAGGCGUUGAGCUAACCUGUACUAAUUGCCCGUGAGGCUUAACCAUACAACACCCAAG
rnacentral:rRNA from 1 species